AAUCAACGCUGGCGGCGUGCCUCAGACAUGCAAGUCGAACGCGAAAGGCCCCUUCGGGGGCCCGGUAGAGUGGCGCACGGGUGAGUAACACGUAGGUAAUUUGCCUUCGGGUGGGGAAUAACAGCCGGAAACGGCUGCUAAUACCGCAUAAUGCAGCGGCUCGACAUCGAGACAGUUGUUAAAGCGGGGGAUCGCAAGACCUCGCGCCUGAAGAGAAGCCUGCGGCAGAUAGCUUGUUGGUGAGGUAAUGGCUCACCAAGGCGACGAUCUGUAACCGGCCUGAGAGGGCGGUCGGUCACACUGACACUGACAUACGGGUCGA
rnacentral:rRNA from 1 species